rnacentral:rRNA from 1 species
AAACGCGCUUACCACAGGGAUAUGCCUGGGAAACUGGGUCUAUUACCGGAUAUGACCCUUCCCCGCAUGGUGGGUGUUGGAAAGAUUUGUCGGUUUUGGAUGGACUCGCGGCCUAUCACCUUGUUGGUGAGGUAAUGGCUCACCAAGGCGACCACGGGUAGCCGGCCUGACAGGGUGACCGGCCACACUGGGACUGAUACACGGCCCAGACUCCUACGGGAGGUAGGGUGGGGAAUAUUGCACAAUGGGCGCAAGCCUGAUGCAUCGACGCCUCGUGAGGGAUGACGGCCUUCGGGUUGUAAACCUCUUUCAACUCUGAAGAAGCGAAAGUGACGGUACCUGCAGAACAAGCACCGGCUAACUACGUGCUGACAGCCGCGGUAAUACGUAGGGUGCGAGCGUUAUCCGGAAUUAUUGGGCGUAAAGAGCUCGUAGGCGGAUUGUCUCGUCUGUCGUGAAAGUCCGGCGCUUAACCCCGGAUCUGCGGAGAGGCACGCGGCAGACUAGAGUGCAG